rnacentral:lncRNA from 1 species
UGUAAUCAAUUAAGAUAAACAAUACCCUGCUAAAACUAUCAAUGAAUAAGAUAGUAAAUUCAGAUUUUUUUUUUUUUUUUUUUUUUGAAACAAAAUGUCAUUUUGUAAAUAAAAAAUAUUUACAAAGUAAGAUAACAACACAUAACCAUAAUCAUAACACGUUGUUUAAAACCUCGUCGGAGAUGGUUUUAAGCGUCAUCAUGUUGCUUUCCAUUUAUUGCUCUUUGUGUUGUUAUUUUCGUGGUUGCUCUCUAUGUUAAACCCACGUCUUCGGCUUCACCUAUCAUCAUCCCAGACAUCAUCGUCCCUCCAUUCUUAAACAUAUCUAUACCGAGACCUUCUACAUUUUAUCUUCAACUCCGGAUUAAGAAACGUAAGAAGACUGACAUGGGGGAUCCUGGCACGGCAACGACAUCGAUUUGUGUUACGAUCGGCUGAACGACGUUGGCGAGCUAGACGGCAACAAGAAAACCUGGCAGAUCUCGCAAGAAAGAAACCUGUGAGAAAAGAAGAAGAAGAAGAAGAGAAAGAGAAAAGAAGAAGGGGGAGAGAGGGAAUAAGGAGGAUGAUUGGGAAUGAGUUUUCUUCUUCUUUCCCUACCGCGCUAGAGUUUCUUGCUCUGUUGUUUUUCUGAAUGAGAGGGUUUUUUACAUAACAUGAUUUUAAUUCAGAAUUCAUACAGAAAGAUUUCAACAGGUCACACUAACUAUUAAAGUUUUCAAGAGAUUAUCAUUCAAAUAUGUGAACAUAUAAAAGAAAAAAAGAAAAUAAGGAACAUGCCAAGUUUUCUCUGUUAAUUUG